rnacentral:snoRNA from 1 species
UGAUGAUAGUGAGGGAAUUUUUUGAGCAUACCCUUAAAUCUGUCCCAAGCUUGGUAGAGAUUCUCUCCGUCUUUCAAUCUAAAACUUAAGAUUUUACUCCUCAAGUG